UUUUUUUUUUUUUUUAAACAAGUUAUUUUGAAUUUUUCCUGCGCCCAUUACAUUUGUGGCCCCGUAGCUGAGUGGGCAGUGCUGUCAGAUGAACCUUGUUAACCAGUGUACUUUUUCUGAGGACAGAACUAUAAUGUGGGCACAGCUUUGCAAUUGGUGUGCACUGGGCAUACAGCCUCAGUAACUGGCCCAUGAUGGACAGAAGGCCUGAUAGACUUCCUUAUGUGCAAAUAAAAUAAAUAAAUAAAUAAAAAUUAAAAAAAAAAAAAAUCUGAGUAAGUAAAUGCCAUUUUUACUUGCGUAACCACAAGUUUUGCCACAAUGCUUAAGAAUAACCAUCUUUUCUGAAUUUUCUUUUUUUGAAGAGGGUAUGUCCUGAACUAUUCAUGAAAUAGGACACAGGAUACAAACAUGGGAGGAGAUUUACAAGGAGAAAAAAAAAAAGAAAGAAAAAGGAAGAUAAAACUAACCAGAAGCUCAGCUAUGGCAUGCAUACAGGAAAAGAAUGUUAAUUCCUGCAUUGAGUUACAGCAGACAGUAUUGGCAAUCUUCUGGGUGUGUCUGUAUGCAGAGCUUUUCUAAAAACUGUUUUGAAAACUACAGCAGAAGUUCCAAAUAUUUACAAAACAUUUAGAAAGACUACCACUCAGCUUCCUACAGCAAGUGAAAGUAUGUAUCCUACCUCUAAGGGGCUUUACCUAUACCUAGACAUUUCUAUAAACAUCUUUUUUUCAGAUCUGGUUAUCUCCAGUCUGAAUUAUCUGCAAGGCUUCUUGUCUAAUACAGUCUGUAUAUUGUUAUCUGUAAACUUACAUACCAGCUUUAGCUGCAAAAGAAGGAUGGACUUGCUGAAGAAAAAAGUGGAGUAUGUAUCCAAAAACUACAACAAAACAAACUGCAGAUGCAUCUCUAAAAAACCAUAGCAGAUUAAAUACGCACUUUUUUUCUAAACACUUCAUGUUUCAGUUGGCAGCUAUAAAUCACGUUACUAACCCCCAAAAGAACACUUACACCAAUGCAUCAAAAUUUCAUGCAGAAACUAUUCUGAAAAUGAGGGGAUUUUUCUUAAGGCUUUACAUGGAUAGACUAAACAUUUCUAGAUUUUAUUAAAUAUACAAAUUAGUUGCUGUCCAAUGGCUAAAUCACUCGGGUCAGACAGAAAAAAAAGGUUGUUCCACAGUCACAUCUGAACUGUCAUGUAUGUACAGAAACAUUAUACAUCUUCGUGAGCAAUUUUGAUUAAAUGAAAUAUUGAACUAAAAAGUAGCUUCAGAUUUUAACAAGUGAUCAAUUUCAUGGUAUUACUGGAGAGUAUCAAUUAAAGCACAGCUGCAGCCAGCUUCUGUGAAUGCCAAGUCCUCCUUUCCUGCAUUUGCCAAAGAUUUCAGUGAUGUGACAGCUCAAAGAUGGUUUUUUACCCUUAGUGGCAUAUCUUCAGAACGAGCAUGUGUUUCUAUUUCCAGAGUAAGGUAUAGCUGGGAAAAAGUAGGUCGUUUUUUGUUCUGUGGCAGGAAAGGAGAAAGAUUUGUGCCUGAGACAAGAAUUUGAUUAAGAUGAAGAAACCCCAGUUCUCCAAACCAAAAACAUUAAACUCUGCUUGAAGAUCUUCCAUGAAACAAUUUGUGCACUCUUCAUAUUUUCAGUCUGUCUCUAGAGUGAUGACUGAAGAUUUACAGGAUUGUCUGAUCUGCCCUUGAAAUUUGGUUUCUUCUUUAGCCCGUUUAAUUCUCAAAUUCCAUUCCAACCAAGGAAAGACAAUUUUGAUCAACAAGCUGUUGCAACAGCAAAUCUUUCAAGGAAAUCUAUCAUAACCGUUGCAAUAGACCUAAAAUAAGAUGCUGAAACUUGUCAACCAAAAAAUUAGCUGCAAUUAUGUAUCACUGUCUUAUCCUUACUGCAUCUUCUAAAGCAGGCAUUCUCUAAAGCAUAUGUAGAGCAUGUUUCUGCACAUCUGCAAAUAUUUUCGUCAGGCUGAAGUAAGAUAUAAGAGUUUCCCAGUGAUGUUAAAAUGAUUUAGAGCAGAAGAAAAAAGUAAGAUAUUUUUCCUGUCAGAAAGCAAAACAACCUGAAUUGAUAAAAUGAAAUAGAAUAAAAAAAAGUUAAGGUGGAAACAAAUUGGUUUGUUUGCAUUUCACUUCCUGUGCUUUUAAAACUUUUUAUGUAGCUGGUUUAUGGUACUACUUUAUUUUCCUUCUUAUUCCCUGACCAAAAAGGAAUAAGUUCAGUUAAAGUAAGUAAAUGUAGAAAUGUUAACAUAUAACAUCAACCAAGUGUAUGUUCCAAGUAAAAGAUGAAAUAUUUCAUUGUCUUAAAAAUAGCCUUUUUCCCUAGUGUGGCUGAAUCUAUGUGCUAAAAUAGAUGCAUGCUUGAUGCAGAGCUUACACACCAAGACUGGGUAUUUUGAAAGCUAGCUGAAAACUUCAACAUCUAGUUGAAUAACUCAAUGUUAUUCAAAAACACCCCAUUUUUUACACAGCUAUUUAAAUUCCUUAGACAUGUAGAAGUUUUUGUCAAUUUCUACUCUAAUCUGCUUUCACUAGCGGAGAAGUAAUGACCUAGCUUAGAUAUCACUUCACGUUUAAUUAAGACACCACUUGGAAUUGGGUGAAAGAUGAGGGAAAAGUACAGAAAAUGUAUUUUGAAAUUAUCUAUUCAUAUUUACCAGAGCUACAAUUUCUUUGGACAAAAACUGGAUCACCAGAAGAUCUCCAAAAUCUCCUCCAUUAAUUUUGUAGGAAUACUAGGUGUCUCCUGCUACUUUAGAUCCAAAAUGUUUAACUCUGUGAAGACAUAUGCAGUGCAGUGAGAAUAGCUUUUUGAAAUAAUAAAAAUAUAAUGCCAUGGCUAAACAAGUGUCAGUCUUAACAUCUUCUUGCACUACUGCAAAAUUGUCUCAUUCCACCUCAUAAUCCACUCAUCUACCUCACAUUUCCUCAGCUUACUUACAAGGAUGUUAUGGGAGACAGUGUCAAAAAGCCUUGCUGAAGUCAAGAUAAACAAUAUCCUCUGCUCUCACCUCUAUCCAGCCAGUCAUGACACCAUAGAAGGCCUUUUUUUUUUUUUUUUUUUUUUUUUUUUUUUUUUUUUUUUUAAGAGAGAGAACUUCAUCAGUCAUUUCAUGAAGCAAAGGAAGUAAUCUGCUUGAACACCAUGCACACUGGACUCUGUUCAAAACAGAGCUUCCAAAAAUCUGAGCCCAUUCUACAGUUUAAUAAUAUUUCUCUGGAACAGGCCGAAGUUAGGUUAACAAAAAAAUGGGUGAUAAAGCAGAACCUGGCUUCUGCUACAAAAACAAAACAGAACAACCAUCAAUUACACCACCACCAGCAAACCUGUCAAGAGUCAGCAAGAACUCUCCUCAAUAAUAGGAAAGAAAGAUUAUUACUAUCCUUUCAUAAGGAUAUAGUGAUAAUCAUUAA
ensembl:lncRNA